CGUGGGUAACCUGCCCAAGAGAUCGGGAUAACACCUGGAAACAGAUGCUAAUACCGGAUAACAACAGAUGAUGCCUGUCAACUGUUUAAAAGAUGGUUCUGCUAUCACUCUUGGAUGGACCUGCGGUGCAUUAGCUAGUUGGUAGGGUAACGGCCUACCAAGGCGAUGAUGCAUAGCCGAGUUGAGAGACUGAUCGGCCACAUUGGGACUGAGACACGGCCCAAACUCCUACGGGAGGCAGCAGGG
rnacentral:rRNA from 1 species